rnacentral:rRNA from 1 species
CCCUGAGGUUAGCCCUUGUUCUAAAGAUUUGUUC